AGUCACUGACAUUAGAUACCCGGGUAGUCCAGGGUGUAAACGCUGCAGACUUGGUGUUGGGAACCCUUCGGGGGUGCUCAGUGCCGGAGAGAAGUUGUUAAGUCUGCUACUUGGGGAGUACGUCCGCAAGGAUGAAACUUAAAGGAAUUGGCGGGGGAGCACCGCAACGGGAGGAGCGUGCGGUUUAAUUGGAUUCAACGCCGAAAAACUCACCAGCAGCGACUGUUACAUGAAAGUCAGGUUGAUGACCUUACUAGAUUUUUCAG
rnacentral:rRNA from 1 species